GGGGCAUGAUGAUGAAUAAAGAUUAUUCUGAUAUUUCUUGAUUGAAAUAAAUCCUCCUACUCAUUCUGA